UCUAAAAUUAGUAUUUGAAGUAAACUUCCUUUUCUGAAAAUAAAGUGAAACCAAAAGUCAAAGAAAAAGUUUGAAGUGUUGGACUCUAAGAUCAAAACAAAUGUUUGUAAAGUUGCUUUCCUUUGUGGUUGGAAUUUAUGUAGGAAUUUAUAUUGACCAGCAUUAUCAGGUACCAAGGGUAGAUGAUCCGAGCUCUGUAUGGACGCAGGUCAGAGAAUAUGCCAAACAAUUUGAGAAAGACAAGAAGGACAAGUGAAAUUGACCUUAUGGUUUAUCCUUUGACCAGAUGCCACAUGACAUUCCAUGAGUUAAUUCUGACUUGCUAUAGACAAUCAACCUUUCAGUCCUACAACCAUGAUGAUCAAGAUGAUUACAGUUAUCAUAUAUGAGUGAUUUGUAAUGUUAGGGGUUAUACAGAAAUUAAUUUUUACAAAAGGAUCAAUCUUUCGUAUUUUUGUUAGUUCUAUAACUUAACAUUACUGGGCAUUAUUUGUUAUUAUGUGAAUUAUUUAAUUAUUGUUUCCAUCAAAAUAAAAACAAAAAUAUUUUAUAGACUGUUUUCUAACCUCACAACAUCUGUUCUACAAGUUUGUACUCCGACUUAUAAUUCACUAAGGUUUAACUUUAUGUAAUUAAUUUGUAAAAAGAAAUUAUAGUUCUAUAAAA